CAGAGUUGCUUUCUUCUGCAGACAAAUCACCCUAAGGAGGAGUUUGCUCAGCCCGAGCGAGUCGCUCCUCUGGAGGGUGUGUGCAGUUUGUGCCUUCCAGCCAGCUGGGGACCAUCCGCGCCCUGCCCGUGCCAGCUCGCUGCAGCAGCACACCUGUGAAGCUGGAAGGACACAGAGGAGAGCAGCAUGGCCUCGGCAGAGAGGAUGAACUGCUGAAGGACAGCUCCUGGGAGCUGGCCUGGCUGAGGGAAGGAAAGAUGUGAGGAUUGGCACCUGGAAAUGAGCAGAAUGCAUCCACCUGCACAGCCUGCUUUGCUUUCUCUUCCCUGCCCCUGAAGGAACAGAGCUGCUCAGGCCCCUCUGCAGGAUGCUCACAAGGCCACCUUCUUCUCCUGUCCUCCUUCUCCUGUCCUGUGUCUGGUGGGAGCCACUAUCAGGAACAACAUG